CCCAGACUCCUACGGGAGGCAGCAGUGGGGAAUAUUGCACAAUGGGGGAAACCCUGAUGCAGCAACGCCGCGUGAGUGAAGAAGUAUUUCGGUAUGUAAAGCUCUAUCAGCAGGGAAGAAAAUGACAGUACCUGACUAAGAAGCCCCGGCUAACUACGUGCCAGCAGCCGCGGUAAUACGUAGGGGGCAAGCGUUAUCCGGAUUUACUGGGUGUAAAGGGAGCGUAGACGGCAGUGCAAGUCUGAAGUGAAAGGCGGGGGCCCAACCCCCGGACUGCUUUGGAAACUGUGCUGCUGGAGUGCAGGAGAGGCAAGUGGAAUUCCUAGUGUAGCGGUGAAAUGCGUAGAUAUCAGGAGGAACACCGGCGGCGAAGGCGGCCUGCUGGACUGAAACUGACGUUGAGGCUCGAAAGCGUGGGGAGCAAACAGGAUUAGAUACCCCUGUA
rnacentral:rRNA from 1 species